rnacentral:misc_RNA from 1 species
AUCAAUACAAUAAGAAUAUUUGUGAAUUAUUUGCGUUGGAAGUAAGAAACCAGAAACAUACAUAUUAUGUAGCAACAAAUUUCCUAGUUGCCCAUGGGAAAAUGGGACUGCUUCAGGAUUUACAUAUAUGUAAACACGAGUCCACCUGAAAAAGUACUUCAUGCUGAUUGAAGCGAGGGUUGAAGUCAUUUUAAGAGGAGCUGCUUCAAUCAAUAAUUUUCAAUUUGCAGACUCAGCGCCAGGUACCAAAGCAAACAAGGAAAACAUUCUGUGCAGUUCUUUCAAUCUUGUCCCCAAUUACCAGAAUUGUAGAUUAAAAGGAGUUUAUGGUUCAGAGGACUGGUUUUGACCGAGCUCUGAGCUCAACAUAUGGUGGAGGAGCAUAUCAACUCUUUGACUACGAGUUUUUGCGCCAACAUAUCGGCGCCGAGGCCUUGCAUCUCUUUCAUCCUUAUCUUCACCUUGUUCUGAUGUCUCUAGUUCCAUUUCAGCAAAGAAUGCCUCCAAGACAAAAGCAACAACCAAAUUCAAAAGCAAGAGAACAGUUAUAAGGUAGAAGCUGAUGAAAUAUGCAAGGGACCAAGAGCUUCCUGUCAAGUCCUUAUAGCUCUGCAUCCAAAUUUGCCAAUUCCCCAUCACUAGCAGAUUAAAAAGUGUCACCAUGCCAUUUGGAUAGUCAUUAAAAUUGAAAAGUAUAUAAUCGGAAUCAGCAAGAUCUGUGUCUUCCAGAUUGGGGUUCCCAGCAUUGACAAUUCCACCAAAGAUCUGUACACCAAGAGAACAAUAUAUACAUAGGACACAAAAUAUUGUGCCCAGAUAUGGCAUCAAACUUGGUAUGAGGGUUAAGAAUGUGGCAACAAAAGCUCGGUAACUUCGGACAUGCAUCAACAACCUUAUCAAUCUUAACAUUCUUGCCAGGAGAAGGUAACGAAUCCAUUCUCCAUUUGAAGAGUCCAUGAGGCGAUGCAAAAGUUAGAGUUUCUCCAAUAACUAUUACCCAUGUGAUCAGAAAAUCAAAUCGAUUUUGACCAUCCCUCCAGUAGUUCUCAAAACCAAGAGAGUAUACUUUUAGUGCCAUUUCCAGAACGUAGAUCCAACCAAAGACAAAUUCCACCACUUGCCACACUUUUUGAGCAGAAUUAUUUUCUAUAUCAAGCGUUGUUUCGAUGAUAACGGCAAUCAGAUUCACAAGAAGAAUGAAGGAUAUUAUAUAGCCAAAUUUGGGGCCCCUUACGAAGGCUUUCAGAUUUUCAGAGAAUGGUGAAAGGUAGAUUGAAGGACAAUUCUCAAAGAUAGAUGGAACAUCUUCUUUCUGGAAUCUAAGAGCAAUUGCAUUGCAAAGGUCAGCAAAUUCUUCCAAGUUGAUCUUGAAAUCACGAGUAUCAUCCAGCUCAUCAAAUAUCAACUCGAAUUCUUCUCUUGAUAUUUUUGGCAGAGUCCUGUAUUUGUUAAGUUCUUCAAACAAAUGAAUACAUUGCUCCUUAUUAAGAUAUCCAACAUUAUACUUAUCAAUGAGGUUGAAGGCUUUCAUCAACAUUCUUUUCCUCAUGCUAUCUGAGGCAGAAACUUGUUUUGCAAGCUGACNNNGAAGCUAUCAUAUACAACAGCAAGGACCAAGUUUGUGACAAAGUACACACCCAGUAGCACGUAGAGAACAAAAAACAAGCAAUACCAACGUGAAUCCUUGUAUGCAGGUAUCC